GACGAACGCUGGCGGCGUGCUUAACACAUGCAAGUCGAACGGAAAGGCCCUGCUUUUGUGGGGUGCUCGAGUGGCGAACGGGUGAGUAACACGUGAGUAACCUGCCCUUGACUUUGGGAUAACUUCAGGAAACUGGGGCUCAUACCGGAUAGGAGCUCCUGCUGCAUGGUGGGGGUUGGAAAGUUUCGGCGGUUGUGGAUGGACUCGCGGCUUAUCAGCUUGUUGGUGGGGUAGUGGCUUACCAAGGGUUUGACGGGUAGCCGGCCUGAGAGGGUGACCGGCCACAUUGGGACUGAGAUACGGCCCAGAAUCCUACGGGAGGCAGCAGUGGGGAAUAUUGCACAAUGGGCGGAAGCCUGAUGCAGCAACGCCGCGUGCGGGAUGACGGCCUUCGGGUUGUAAACCGCUUUCGCCUGUGACGAAGCGUGAGUGACGGUAAUGGGUAAAGAAGCACCGGCUAACUACGUG
rnacentral:rRNA from 1 species